rnacentral:rRNA from 1 species
GUGUCAGCAGCCGCGGUAAGACAGAGGGUGCGAACGUUGCUCGGAAUUACUGGGCGUAAAGCGUGUGUAGGCGGCCACGCAAGUCGGAUGUGAAAGCCCUGGGCUCAACCCAGGAAGUGCACCCGAUACUGCGACGGCUUGAGUACCGGAGAGGUUGGUGGAAUUCUCGGUGUAGAGGUGAAAUUCGUAGAUAUCGAGAGGAACACCGGUGGCGAAGGCGGCCAACUGGACGAGUACUGACGCUGAGACACGAAAGCGUGGGGAGCAAACAGGAUUAGAAACCCGCGUAGUCC